rfam:Gossypium hirsutum cultivar TM-1 unplaced genomic scaffold scaffold373.1, whole genome shotgun sequence
AAUCUUUGGUGCGGGCAUUUCAGAAUCAACAUUUUGAAUUGUUUCCAUGCCUCAUAGAAACUUUUUUCCUCUAUCUGUCUAAAUAUAACAAUCUCUCUUCUUAGUUG